rnacentral:rRNA from 1 species
AUUGAACGCUGGCGGCAGGCUUAACACAUGCAAGUCGAACGAGUGGCGGACGGGUGAGUAAUGCUUGGGAAUCUAGCUUAUGGAGGGGGAUAACUACGGGAAACUGUAGCUAAUACCGCGUACCAUAGGAUGAGCCCAAGUGGGAUUAGGUAGUUGGUGAGGUAAAGGCUCACAAAGCCAACGAUCUCUAGCUGGUCUGAGAGGCUGACCGGCAACACUGGGACUGAGACACGGCCCAGAUUCCUACGGGAGGCAGCAGGGGGGAAUAUUGCGCAAUGGGGGCAACCCUGACGAAGUCAUGCCGGGGGAAUGAAGAAGGUCUUAGGGUUGUAAAGUACUUUCAGCGGGGAGGCGUUACCCGCAGAAGAAGCACCGGCUAACUCCGUGCCAGCAGCCGCGGUAAUUC